ensembl:lncRNA
AAUGCAUGACGCUGAUCCUCCGCGAGGGAGAAAAAGCUGCACACUUGGAGCCACUGGGUAGGGCACCCCACAUCUGACUCCGCUGCUUUUCCCCAGGACACCCAAAGUGAUAUGCCACUUGGCUAUGGAAAUCUUCCUCCUUGCGGAGAAAUAAAGAGGCAAAGACCCUCCUUGACCACCAAGAGGAAAGUAGAUGUGUAGGCAGAUGCUGGAAAUAAUCUGUCUGACCUCAUGAUGCAACAUAUAGCAAUUGUGUCUAAGGAAUUCAAGAGCUUUGUCACACCCUGGAGAUGGAGAUGCUUUUUCAAGAAGUUAUUAUAUCUGGUCUAGGGGCCUUUCUCCAAGGCAAUGAAGCUCCACAGCUCUUCGGUGGUCUUUUCUAACUCCUCGACAGAGUUUUGUUGAAUGUCUGGACUCUGUAGAUCUUCAUGAGUUCAUACAACUAGCAAAAUGUAUAGGACUGUGAUUUCACUCUGGGCUCCAUGUUGUCCCUGGGGGUAGAAUGCAUCAAGACAGUCCUGCUCAGCAAAGCACUGCGCACCCGCUCGUCUCGCAAACCCUGGAUGUUUUCAUGGGCAAUGGAUUGACGUAUCGCCAUUGACACACGUCGCGUUAGCAGCAUGCUUGACUCAGCCUCAAGGCCCUCCAGGCGGCAGAGGGUCACAGAUGACCACAGCCUUGCCUGCUAAGCCACGCCAGUGCCCUCUGGACAGAGGUGAUAUUAUCUGUGGGUCUAGAUUCCAGGGACCUAUAAAGUGAAGUAAAUAUGAAC